rnacentral:rRNA from 1 species
AUGGAGGACAGAGACCAUGGCCCCGCUGAGAACCUUCCUGAGUCUCCACACCGCAUCGUCGACGGCGACGAGGAGGGAGACGAAGACGGAGACGGCUUCACCUUCCCCGUCCUACCGUUCGUGGCGGACGCGCACAUCGUGCCCGUGUACCCCGUCUUCGGCCGGCCCCCGCCCCCGCCGCCGGCGGCCUCGGUCGACGAGCAGGAGACGGCCACCGUGCGCGUGCCGCUGGGGCGGCUCCUGCUGGAGGAGCGCGACUUCCGCGCGAGGCAGAGGGACGAAGAGGGCUCCGGGGCCGGCGAGCUGGAGGGCGUGGCGCCGGAGAGUUACUGCCUCUGGGCCCCCGGGCAGUCCACUCCGGCGUCCCCGCGGCGGUGCCGGAAGAGCAGCUCCACGGGGUCGGUGCUCCGGUGGCGUCGCAUCAGCGAGCGCCUCGUGGGGCGGAGCCACAGCGACGGCAAGGAGAAAUUCGUCUUCUUGGACGCCACCUCAGGGCCUCCCAAGCAGGGGGACGUGGUGGAAGGGGGCAGCAGGAGCGACGGCGGCGGUGGCGCCGAUGCCCACGGAUGGAGCUAUUACAGCAAAGGAGGAGGAGGUGGAGGAGGAAGCGGCGGCGCUGGCCGGAGGAGAUCUUACCUCCCGUACAAGCAAGAGCUUGUCGGGUUGUUCGCCAACGUCAGUGGGUUACGGCGAAGCUAUCCCCCGUUCUAA